rnacentral:lncRNA from 1 species
UUUUAUAUCUUUAUGUUUGAAGCCUGAAAUGUGCCAAAAGGUCGCAAAGUUCAAGGGGCCGAAUACUUUCGCAAGGCACUGUAUAUCUUACCACAUUAUGGAACACACAGACAUUCAUCUAUCCUACCACAUUAUGGAACACACAGACACACAGCAGGUCAUAUAUCCUACACAUUAUGGAACAGACACACAGCAGGGUCAUAUAUCCUACCACAUUAUGGAACAGACACACAGACAGUUCAUAUAUCCUACCACAUUAUGGAACAGCCACACAGACAGGUCAUAUAUCCUACCACAUUAUGGAACACACAGCAGGGUCAUAUAUCCUACCACAUUAUGGAACAGACACACAGCAGGGUCAUAUAUCCUACCACAUUAUGGAACACACGCAGGGUCAUAUAUCCUACCACAUAUG